AUACUUACCUGGAACAGGGAUACACCAUGAUCAGCAAUAUGGUUCUCCUAGAGUGAGGCCCAUCCAUUGCACUCCGGUGGUGUUAAUUAUUAUUAUUAUUGUUGUUGUCGUUGUUGUUGUUGCUGUUGUUGUUGUUGUUAUAUUUGUAUAAUAGUAU